rnacentral:rRNA from 1 species
CAGUAGCCGCGGUAAUACGUAGGGUGCAAGCGUUAAUCGGAUUUACUGGGCGUAAAGCGUGCGUAGGCGGCUUUUUAAGUCGGAUGUGAAAUCCCUGAGCUUAACUUAGGAAUUGCAUUCGAUACUGGGAAGCUAGAGUAUGGGAGAGGAUGGUAGAAUUCCAGGUGUAGCGGUGAAAUGCGUAGAGAUCUGGAGGAAUACCGAUGGCGAAGGCAGCCAUCUGGCCUAAUACUGACGCUGAGGUACGAAAGCAUGGGGAGCAAACAGGAUUAGAUACCCCCGUAGUCCCUGUCUCUUAUAC